rnacentral:rRNA from 1 species
GACUCCGUGGCUACGAGGACGAACGCUGGCGGCGUGCUUAACACAUGCAAGUCGAACGGUGAACCAGGGCUUGCCCUGGGGAUCAGUGGCGAACGGGUGAGUAACACGUGGGCAACCUGCCCCUGACUCUGGGAUAACUCCUCGAAAGAGGUGCUAAUACCGGAUACGACCACUUCGGGCAUCCGAUGGUGGUGGAAAGAAUUUUGGUCAGGGAUGGGCCCGCGGCCUAUCAGCUUGUUGGUGGGGUAACGGCCCACCAAGGCGACGACGGGUAGCCGGCCUGAGAGGGCGACCGGCCACACUGGGACUGAGACACGGCCCAGACUCCUACGGGAGGCAGCAGUGGGAAAUAUUGCGCAAUGGGCGAAAGCCUGACGCAGCGACGCCGCGUGAGGGACGACGGCCUUCGGGUUGUAAACCUCUUUCAGCAGGGACGAAGCGAAAGUGACGGUACCUGCAGAAGAAGCACCGGCUAACUACGUG